UACGUAGGGUGCGAGCGUUAAUCGGAAUUACUGGGCGUAAAGGGCGCGUAGGCGGCUUUUCAAGUCGGGCGUGAAAUCUCCGGGCUUAACCCGGAAGGGUCGUUCGAUACUGUUGAGCUAGAGUGUGGAAGAGGCAACUAGAAUUCCGUGUGUAGCGGUGAAAUGCGUAGAUAUACGGAGGAAUACCUGAGGCGAAGGCGGGUUGCUGGGCCAACACUGACGCUGAGGCGCGAAAGCCAGGGGAGCAAACGGG
rnacentral:rRNA from 1 species